GACGAACGCUGGCGGCGUGCCUAAUACAUGCAAGUAGAACGCUGAAGAGAGGAGCUUACUCUUCUUGGAUGAGUUGCGAACGGGUGAGUAACGCGUAGGUAACCUGCCUUGUAGCGGGGGAUAACUAUUGGAAACGAUAGCUAAUACCGCAUAACAAUGGAUGACACAUGUCAUUUAUUUGAAAGGGGCAAUUGCUCCACUACAAGAUGGACCUGCGGUGUAUUAGCUAGUAGGUGAGGUAAUGGCUCACCUAGGCGACGAUACAUAGCCGACCUGAGAGGGUGAUCGGCCACACUGGGACUGAGACACGGCCCAGACUCCUACGGGAGGCAGCAGUAGGGAAUCUUCGGCAAUGGGGGCAACCCUGACCGAGCAACGCCGCGUGAGUGAAGAAGGUUUUCGGAUCGUAAAGCUCUGUUGUAAGUCAAGAACGGGUGUGAGAGUGGAAAGUUCACACUGUGACGGUAGCUUACCAGAAAGGGACGGCUAACUACGUG
rnacentral:rRNA from 1 species